rnacentral:rRNA from 1 species
UAAGGAAUAUUGCUCAAUGGGAGAAAUCCUGAAGCAGCAACGCCGCGUGGAGGAUGAAGGGUCUAUGACUUGUAAACUCCUGUAAAGAAGGAAAAAAUUCCCAUUUGAUGGGAGAUGAUGGUACUUCUGGAGUAAGCCCCGGCUAACUACGUGCCAGCAGCCGCGGUAAUACGUAGGGGGCAAGCGUUGUCCGGAAUUAUUGGGCGUAAAGGAUGCGUAGGCGGUCUUUUAAGUGGGAUGUGAAAUACCUGGGCUUAACUCAGGGAUUGCAUUCCAAACUGGAAGACUAGAGUGCAGGAGAGGAAAGUGGAAUUCCCAGUGUAGCGGUGAAAUGCGUAGAGAUUGGGAGGAACACCAGUGGCGAAGGCGACUUUCUGGACUGUAACUGACGCUGAGGCAUGAAAGCGUGGGGAGCAAACA